UACGAAGGGGGCUAGCGUUGCUCGGAAUUACUGGGCGUAAAGGGCGCGUAGGCGGAUAGUUCAGUUGGGGGUGAAAGCCCGUGGCUCAACCUCGGAACUGCCUUCAAUACUGGCUAUCUUGAGUACGGGAGAGGUGUGUGGAACUCCGAGUGUAGAGGUGAAAUUCGUAGAUAUUCGGAAGAACACCAGUGGCGAAGGCGGCUCUCUGGGACGGUACUGACGCUGAGACGCGAAAGCGUGGGGAGCGAACAGG
rnacentral:rRNA from 1 species